GCCUGGCUGGCUCAGUUGGUAGAGCCUGCGACUAUCAAUCUCAGGGUCAUGAGUUCAAGCCCCAUGCUGGGCA
rnacentral:tRNA from 1 species